rnacentral:lncRNA from 1 species
AGAAAGCUUAGGAUAAAAGGGAGUCACAAGCAUAGAACAAUUGGGAGUCUCAGUGAGGAAAGGAUGCUUUGCCUCAGACCUGGUCAAUAGGCACUUCCACCCAUCGUAUAAACUGUUGGGACUUUCCCGGCUGAUUGUGGUGUGAAUGUUGUAAGUACCGAUUUGUUGCUCCCCUUUAUCCCUGCUCCUUGUUCUGUUUCCCUUUAUCAAUAAACUUUGAUUGCUUAAACAACCAAGUAGCCUUGGCGGUACCUGUCAUUCCUUGCCCUUUGCGGCUGCGGACAACAGAUGUGGCAGAAACUUUAAUUACUUGAUUGGGUUACAUAAAGCACGGAAUUGAUUUUAAUUUUAAAACUGGCAAUGGGUUGAAUUUGCUAUAGGUAAAUUGGGUUCAAGGUCAAGAAAGUAUGUACAUUUUUGAGAACAAAGUGAGCUUCAGGUUUGAACAUCACUGAUGAGAUUCCUCAAUCCCUACCCCCAAGCUGCACCUCCUACUCCCCUCACCUACCCAGCUAUCUGGAUGCAAAGCAAAGGGGUGGAGGUUGAGAGAGGGUAGGGAAGUCCCAGUGAGGCCUCCAGAAAAGAAGACAUGCCAACAGGGACUGUGAGGAAACGACAGUUUAUGUGUGAAAGAACAUAUUCCUUACGAAAGAGACUAUUUUAAUUUAGAGGGGAAAACCCAACUAAGCGACUUCAGAUAGCAGAGCUAACUGAAAAAAACAAUUUAAUGUUAAUGGGGCAGACAAGGGAUAGGAAACAGACGAUUGGGGGGGCGUCAUUCUGAAGUCCGGCGGUAGAGAUGAUGCAGAGCGUUUCAAACAGAGGAAAUGGCACCCAGGUAGCCUCUGUUGUGAAGAGCUUACAUUUGGGGCAAAGGAAGGAAAAUCAACUCGGCUGCAAGAAAAGCAAAGAGGUACAAUUUAAAGUUUACAAGCUAUGGAGACUCUGAGAGAUGAUUUGUGAGAGGAAGGGGUGUGGACGGCAUGUGCUUGUGAGUAUG